rnacentral:tRNA from 1 species
GCCUGGGUGGCUCCGUCGGUAAGUGUCUCUGACUUCGGCUCAGGUCAUGAUCUCGUGUUCGUGAGUUCGAGUCCCGCCUCAGGCU